GCUUCUCCACUCCACUGUACUUCCCAUGGCUGCAAACAAAGAGAAGUCCAUUGGUAUCUUGUUACAUGCAUUUGUAUGGCAUAUAUACUUGGGUUUUCUUGGGAUGGCUAAUGCUGGAGAGGAUUCCCUCACUAACAAGACUGACGGUUUCAUGUAGAUGCUAAACAACAUCGGAGACAAAAAGGAGCCCCGAGGAACAUCAUACCAAAGUUCAUAUUUUGAAGAACGACAGUCCCUGAGAGACACCAUCUGGAAUCUGCACAAGAGGACAGAAGCGGAAUGUUAAUGAGGCACGGAAACAACAAGGCAAUUGACCUCUGACUCCCACAGUGAAAUAGGAAAACAUAACUUUGUUGGAGAAAACGUGUCGUUUCCACGAGAAUCAACUGACCAGAACGGUGAGAAAAACAGCCUUUUCAUAAUAACCAAGAGAGAAUCUCACAGUGCAUACUAGGAAGGAUGACAAUGAUAGCUAGCCCAUUAUUUGUCAUUAGGAAAUUGUAGAACUAUUUUUCAUGCUGCCUUGACAGGGGAAAUUGCAAAGUUUAAGAAAUGGUCAAUAUGAAAUGAGAAAUGGAAGGACAAAUCCUGUCUGUUCAGUGCUCUGCAUUGUCCUACCUUGCUCUAAUAGUGCCACAAGAGCAAGAACAAAAGAGCAAGAUGUGCACACAAUUCUUCUCUGUUUAUCAGGGACAAUCCUGAUUUUCUCAUACCAGUCUAUUCCUAUUUUGACUUCAGAAGUUGUAAAGUAUUCCUUAAAAAAAAAAAAAAAAGAUCUUGGUUACCGGUUUGCUUUUCAA